GUAGGUAGCAGCGGUAUGGAGAUACAGUAGGUAGCAGCGGUAUGGAGAUACAGUAGGUAGCAGCAGUAGGGUAGAAGCGGUAGGUAGCAGCAGCAGUAGGUAGCAGCAGUAGGGUAGAAGCAGUAGUAGGUAGCAGCGGUAGUUAGCAUUAGUAGGUAGCAGCGGUAGGUAGCAGCGGUAGUUAGCAGCGGUAGGUAGCAGCAGUAGGUAGCAGCAGCAGUAGGUAGCAGCAGUAGGGUAGAGGCAGUAGUAGUUAGCAGCGGUAGUUAGCAGUAGUAGGUAGCAGCAGCAGUAGGUAGCAGCAGUAGGGUAGAAGCAGUAGUAGUUAGCAGCAGUAGGUAGCAGCAGUAGGUAGCAGCAGUAGGUAGCAGCGGCAGGUAGCAGCAGUAGAGUAGCAGUGGCAGGUAGCAGCGGCAGGUAGCAGCGGUAGAGUAGCAGCGGAAGGGAAGCAGCGGUAGGUAGCAGCGGUAGAGUAGCAGCGGUAGGGUAGCAGCGGUAGGUAGCAGCGGUAGGGUAGGAGCGGCAGGUAGCACCGGCCGGUAGAAGCGGUAGGGUAGCAGCGGUAGAGUAGAAGCGGUAGGGUAGAAGCGGUAGGGUAGAAGCGGUAGGUAGCAGCAGUAGUAGUUAGCAGCGGUAGGUAGCAGCGGCAGGUAGCAGCAGUAGAGUAGCAGCGGCAGGUAGAAGCUGCAGGUAGCAGCAGUAGAGUAGCAGCGGAAGGGAAGCAGCGGUAGGGUAGCAGCGGCAGGUAGCAGCGGUAGGGUAGAAGCGGCAGGUAGAAGCGGCGGGUAGCAGUGGUAGGGUAGCAGUGGUAGAGUAGCAGUGGUAGGGUAGCAGUGGUAGGGUAGAAACGGCAGGUAGAAGCGGUAGGGUAGGAGCAGCGGUAGGUAGAAGCGGUUGGUAGCAAUGGUAGGGUAGCAGCAGCGG
rnacentral:lncRNA from 1 species